CCGUGACCCUUAAACAAAACAGACCGCGAACGAGUCACCCGUGCCGCCGGGCUCCGGCCCGGCACGCUGCCCCCCCGAACCUCCCGCGGGGAAGGGGGGCCGCGAAAAAGAACCCACGGCGCCCCGGGCGCCAAGGAACACCAGUACUACCUCCUGCCCCGCGGAGCGGUCGGCCCGCCUUCCGUUCCCAGGGCAGCGGUUACACCUUAAUCGACACGACUCUCGGCAACGGAUAUCUCGGCUCUCGCAUCGAUGAAGAACGUAGCAAAAUGCGAUACCUGGUGUGAAUUGCAGAAUCCCGCGAACCAUCGAGUUUUUGAACGCAAGUUGCGCCCGAAGCCUUCCGGCGGAGGGCACGUCUGCCUGGGCGUCACGCCAAAAGACACUCCCAACACCCCCCCGCGGGGCGAGGGUCGUGGCGUCUGGCCCCCCGCGCCACAGGGCGAGGUGGGCCGAAGCAGGGGCUGCCGGCGAACCGCGCCGGGCGCAGCACGUGGUGGGCGACGUCAAGUUGUUGUUCUCGGUGCAGCGUCCCGGCGCGCGGCCGGCCAUUCGGCCCUAAGGACCCAUCGAGCGACCGAGCUUGCCCUCGGACC
rnacentral:rRNA from 1 species